AACGAACGCUGGCGGCAUGCCUAACACAUGCAAGUCGAACGAGAUCUUCGGGUCUAGUGGCGCACGGGUGCGUAACGCGUGGGAAUCUGCCCUUUGGUUCGGAAUAACAGUUGGAAACGACUGCUAAUACCGGAUGAUGACGAAAGUCCAAAGAUUUAUCGCCAGAGGAUGAGCCCGCGUAGGAUUAGGUAGUUGGUGGGGUAAUGGCCCACCAAGCCGACGAUCCUUAGCUGGUCUGAGAGGAUGAUCAGCCACACUGGGACUGAGACACGGCCCAGACUCCUACGGGAGGCAGCAGUGGGGAAUAUUGGACAAUGGGCGAAAGCCUGAUCCAGCAAUGCCGCGUGAGUGAUGAAGGCCUUAGGGUUGUAAAGCUCUUUUACCAGGGAUGAUAAUGACAGUACCUGGAGGAUAAGCUCCGGCUAACUCCGUGCCAGCCGCCGCGGUAA
rnacentral:rRNA from 1 species